UAUUGAGAUGAAACCACUAUGCAUGCUACACCAUGUCAUCGUCUAACAGGAUAUUAUUUAUCAAUAAGAUAUUCACGAAAUCUCAGAAUUCUGCAUCGCCAUAAAAAAAUUGCAGAAUAUCAAAGUGAUUCAACUAGCCUUGCUACCAUUAACAAAUGCAGUUCCUGAAGUUGUUUCCAAUAGUAAGUAGAUCAUAUAAUUUAUAUUCACUUAUCAGAAGUUCUACCAAAUAUGAUUAUCAAACCCAACCAACCAUCUAAUUUGGGGUUGGAUGGCCAGCAGAAAAUCAUCCAUUUGCAUCAACUUCAUGCCCAACUCAAAGCAGCCACUUCUGCAUGGUCAUUAUUACCAUAAAAAAAUGGCCUUGACAUUUGGCUAGGGCCCAUAAUUCCACACAUUUACUCCCCCUAUUCAAUUGCCAAAGUGCCAUAAAAAAGUCCAUACGUUCAGUAUGAAAUUGGUUUUAAAAAGGAGGGGCAAAUCCUGACAAAUCCCUCUAUCUUCUUCUAUUUGGGGGAAACAAGGAUAAUCACAAGGAUCAUAACGUUAGAAGUAUUUGAAGACAAUGG
rnacentral:misc_RNA from 1 species